GAACACAGACGGAACUCCGACAUAACACUGGAAAACAAAGGAAAGCAUUCAUUGAAUUAAAUAAACAGAACUUCUACCUCAAGAGUCUUGUGAACGUUCAUGUGCACAAUAAACGCAGCGCCCACUCAGAGGGACAAUGACCCAACACACCUCCAGGCUGUGUAAAGGCUAUUUGACCAAGAAGGAGAGUGAUGGAAUGCUGCCUCAGAUUACCUGGCCUCCACAAUCAUCCAACCUCAACCCAGUUGAGAUGGUUUGGGAUGAGUUGUACUGCAGAGUGAAGUAAAAGCAGCCAACAAGUGCUCAGCAUAUGUGGGAAUUCCUUCAAGACUGUUGGAAAAGCAUUUCAGAUGUCGACUGACCGGCUGCAGAUUGGAUUAGAUUCAUGCUAGUGACGCUGUUACAUUAUGCAGUCAACUGUGACAUGUUUUGCUAUGGCUCUGGGUUGUUUUUAGUUUGUUGUUGCCUGUUAGUACACUGUCGAAUCUGUUACGGAAUUUUAAUGUUUGUGCUUUUCUUAUAUCAAAUUUCUGUGUUCUAUUCAUGUGCUGUUCUGUAAACCAAUUUAUGUGUUCAUGCAAGUGGUUGACUGUACAAAUCCUCACAAUCAAUAGCUGCAAUUUGGCAGUACGCCCAGACCAUGUUUUGAGAACGAAUGAAAGAUAUCUCAGUUUCAAGGUUUUAGCUUAGAGAGAAGAAGCCUCAUGAGAUAUUGGUCUGUCACAUGUUAUGAACCAGUAUUGGUCUGUCACAUGAAUGAAACGGUAAUGAUUAAUGAAUUAUACUAAAUCAUGCAAAUAUAACUUGUCUCUGUAUAGCCUUAUAUAACAAAACUGCUUGGACUGCCCAGGCAAAGCUCCUGAUUAGCAUGUGUACUAUGGUGCAUUGAGUUAGUUGGAACCUCUCCAGCGCGCUAACAAAUAAAUAAUGAUUUAUUUAAGAUUGACUUAGAGUGUCC
rnacentral:lncRNA from 1 species